UACAGAGGUCUCAAGCGUUGUUCGGAUUCAUUGGGCGUAAAGGGUGCGUAGGUGGCGCUGUAAGUCGGGUGUGAAAUUUCGGAGCUUAACUCCGAAACUGCAUUCGAUACUGCGGUGCUUGAGGACUGGAGAGGAGACUGGAAUUCAUGGUGUAGCAGUGAAAUGCGUAAAGAUCAUGAGGAAGACCAGUGGCGAAGGCGGGUCUCUGGACAGUUCCUGACACUGAGGCACGAAGGCCAGGGGAGCAAACGGG
rnacentral:rRNA from 1 species